GAUGAACGCUGGCGGCGUGCCUAAUACAUGCAAGUCGAGCGAACGGACGAGAAGCUUGCUUCUCUGAUGUUAGCGGCGGACGGGUGAGUAACACGUGGAUAACCUACCUAUAAUACUGGGAUAACUUCGGGAAACCGGAGCUAAUACCGGAUAAUAUUUUGAACCGCAUGGUUCAAAAGUGAAAGACGGUCUUGCUGUCACUUAUAGAUGGAUCCGCGCUGCAUUAGCUAGUUGGUAAGGUAACGGGUUACCAAGGCAACGAUGCAUAGCCGACCUGAGAGGGUGAUCGGCCACACUGGAACGGAGACACGGUCCAGACUCCGACGGGAGGCAGCAGUAGGGAAUCUUCCGCAAUGGGCGAAAGCAUGACGGAGCAACGCCGCGUGAGUGAUGAAGGUCUUCGGAUCGUAAAACUCUGUUAUUAGGGAAGAACAUAUGUGUAAGUAACUGUGCACAUCUUGACGGUACCUAAUCAGAAAGCCACGGCUAACUACGUG
rnacentral:rRNA from 1 species